UGUGGUGCGCCGGGCUCUCAGCCUGUGGUGCGCCACGCGAAACCCCACCCUUGACUAUUCGACCACUUGUUGCUUUGGCGGGCCCGCCGCAAGGCCGCCGGGAGCUUCGGCAUCUGGCCCGUGUCCGCCAGAGACAAUUUGAACCCUUUUGUGAAAUUGACUGUCUGAGUUUAUGAUUAAAUCAUUAAAACUUUCAACAAUGGAUCUCUUGGUUCCGGCAUCGAUGAAGAACGCAGCGAAAUGCGAUAAGUAAUGUGAAUUGCAGAAUUCCGUGAAUCAUCGAAUCUUUGAACGCACAUUGCGCCCUCUGGUAUUCCGGAGGGCAUGCCUGUCCGAGCGUCAUUGCAACCUUCAAGCACGGCUUGUGUGUUGGGCUUUGUUUUCUGAAGCGAAAACAGGCCCGAAAGGCAGUGGCGGCGCCCGAUCCGGUGCCCGAGCGUAUGGGAACUCUCUCCGCUCAAUGUGGCCCGGCUGGCGCUGGUCAGACCAUUAUU
rnacentral:rRNA from 1 species